rnacentral:rRNA from 1 species
AUUGAACGCUGGCGGAAUGCUUUACACAUGCAAGUCGAACGGUAGAGGGGGCAACCCCUCGAGAGUGGCGAACGGGUGAGUAAUAUAUCGGAACGUGCCCAGUCGUGGGGGAUAACGUAGCGAAAGUUACGCUAAUACCGCAUACUAUCCAAGGAUGAAAGCGGGGGAUCGCAAGACCUCGCGUGAUUGGAGCGGCAGAUAUCAGCUUAGGUAGUGGGGGGGGUAAAGGCUCACCAAGCCAACGAUCUGUAGCUGGUCUGAGAGGACGACCAGCCACACUGAAACUGAGACACGGUCCAGACUCCUACGGGAGGCAGCAGUGGGGAAGUUUGGACAAUGGACGCAAGUCUGAUCCAGCCAUUCCGCGUGCAGGAUGAAGGCCCUCGGGUUGUAAACUGCUUUUGUACGGAACGAAAAGGUCUCUCUUAAUACGGGGGACUCAUGACGGUACCGUAAGAAUAAGCACCGGCUAACUACGUGCCAGCCGCCGCCGUAA